rnacentral:lncRNA from 1 species
AGCUCCUUGGGGAGAAUCUCUGCAAUCAUAAUUAUCCUUCUGUUUGUGGGUCAUAUACAUGGGGGUAUGGGACUUACUAUACUGUGUCUCCACCCUAUUAGCUGUUUUGUGAUUCCUUUUUUAUGUAUUUAAUUGUAGAUUUUUUUCCCCACUAGUCUUCAGUCCUUUCUCAUUAAUAGUUGCUCUGUAAAUAGCUGUAAUUUUAGUGUGCCUCUGGGAGAAGGUGAGCUCAGGGUUUUCCUACUCCACCAUCUUGUCCACUCCUAUCACUAUGUCACACAUCAUCAAUUUUUAUCAACAUAUCCCAUUGUAUAGAUGUACUAUUAUUUAUAAAGCAAAUCAUAGUAGCUUGGAUAUUUGGGUAGUCUACAGGGUUUAGGGCUUAUGAUAAAGUUGCAAUGACAAUCCUUGUGCAUACAUUUUUGUACUUCUGACUUAUUAUUUCCCAAAGUUAUGUUUUAAAAUGACAGUAGCUGAGUUGAAGAGUAUACACAUUUAAAAAAAAAAAAAAUGAGUAUACACAUUUUAUGGAGUUCCCACUGUGAUGCAGCAGGUUAAUGAUCUGGCUGGUCUCUGUGGCAUUACCAGUUUUAUCCCUGGCCUGGGAAUGUCUAUAUGCCACAGGUGAGGCUGAAAAAGAAAAAAAAGAGUAUACACAUUUUAAAGGUGACUCAAAGUAACGAAUCGGACUAGUAUCCAUGAGGAUGAAGGUUCCAUCCCGGCCUGGCUCGGUGGUUUAAGGAUCGGUGUUGGAGUUCCCGUCGUGGCUCAGUGGUUAACGAAUCCAACUAGGAACCAUGAGGUUGUGGGUUCGAUCCCUGACCUUGCUCAGUGGGUUAAGGAUCCGGCCUUCCUGUGAGCUGUGGUGUAGGUCACAGACACAGCUCGGAUCCCGUGUUGCUGUGGCUCUGGUGUAGGCCGGCGGCUACAGCUCCAAUUAGACCCCUAGCCUGGAAAACUCCAUAUGCCUCGGGAGUGGCCCUAGAAGAAACAAAAAGACAAAAAAAAGGAUCGGUGUUAUGAUGAGCUGUGGUGUAGGUCACAGAUGAGGCUCAGAUCUGGUGUUGCUGUGGUAUAGGCCAGCAACUGCAGCUCUGAUUCAACCCCUAGCCUGGGAACUUCCAUAUGGCCCUGGUGCGGCCCUAAAAAGAAGAAGAAAAGUGACUUAGACAAGAAAGCAAAAUAUCAAGACUUUAUGAAAAUCUGAAACUGGGUGUGCCCUAGUCCAUGUACAAUGUGAGAGGACUCUGGGGAAUAGGAGAACUUUCAUAGGCUGCUGAAGAUAGGCCAUGAAACCACUGGCUCUCUGGCAUCAGGCCAACCCUGGGAAAGCUGGAGGCUUGGACAGGUCACUAUUUCUUCAGGCUUUAGUCUGUUUAUGAGUAAAUUCAGCAGUCCCUUAUAGCAGGAUAUGACUACAAAUAGCUAUCUAGGAUUCAUGAUCUGUGACUGGAUUACUGUGGAGCAGUGAGCUCCAUAAAUAAACUUAUAGUGGAAGACUCUCCCCACUACACCAAAUCUCAGUGCCAGGGCACUCUGAUAACCAUUUACUUUAAUAAGUCACUAGGAAGAAGAGAGGGUGGUGUGUAUAGAAUAUAAGAGCCUCUUGUAAGUAUGCAAAUCAAUGUGUCAUUAAAGGGAUUGGAGUAGUUAAUAAAAUACAAAUCUCGGAAUUCUCAGACCCUAACAGAUUGACAGUUUAUAGUACUCUUAAGGAACUUAAGACUGUGAGUGAUUCAAAUACAAUCAUCAAUUGAUAUUUUAAUCUCUAGUCACAUAUAUAUUUAAUGCUGUGCUUAUGUAGCUUAAUAUAAAUUUUCAAGUGUACUUGGUUAUUCAUUCCAUGGGCUUUCAGGAAUGCUAAAGUGAAUCAUCUCCCUUGUCACUGAUUAUGUGGAAUGAGAUGGGACUGCCCACAUUUAAUCUCAAGGGUUGAUGAUUCUAAGAAACUUCUGGGAAAAACUGUUAUCAGUUAACAGAAUGGGAGACAACAUAUGGCCUUAGAGGGAAUGAAUGAGGCAAAAGCUCAGAGGCAAAAGAACUAGUAACCCAGAGCAGGGUAAAGAAAGUGACCCAGAACUGGGUUUUGGAGACUGGGUCUUCCCCUUCUGGGGAACAAUAGCUGGGCUUUCAGCACAGCACAGGGGCAGAUAGGCUCUAGACAGAGCUUUCCUGGGCACCCUGGACUUGGCCUCCCCUAGUACCAAUAUACAAAAUUCCCAUACCUUGCUGCAAAUCCUACAAAACUAGAACCUGAGGAACACUAUUGCUCUGUUCACUGGUCCCUAAAGCCGUAUUCCAUUCUCUCAGAAUAGGGCUCCAGAGGGAGUGAAUCUUCCAGUGAGAAGACAGACGUUGUGGAGGUGGUUGGCUGAGGAGGAGUUUCUGUCAUCCAAUGUGUCUUAUCAUUGGCUUGACUAGCGGAAAACCUCUUACACAUUUGGAAGAGGUGGUAAAGAAAGAGGCCAGUAGGGUAUUUGGAUGUCUUGGGCUCCCUAUAGUAAGAAAGUAAGUAGAUAAUUAGGCUUUAGGCUAUUCCAUUUUCUUAUGACCUUGAGCUUAGCUUCUUCACUUAGCUUCACUUAGCUUCACUUAGCUUCUUCAAGCCUCAGAUUCCUCAUUCUUUAAGGUGGGAAAGGCUAUCUACUUCAGGGUUGCCAUAAGGGCAGAAUGAAGAUAUCUUGAAAUCUUCAGCAUAGCGAAUGGCACCGUGAUAGUGCUCAGUGUUUGUGUUUGUGCCCUUGCCCCUUUCUCACCAAACCUUUUUUCUCCAGCUAGCAAAUGGGCAGGGUGGAUGAUCUUCAAGACUUUCCAGCUCUGAGCCUGAAGUCUGCAAAAGUGCUUCAACAAAGUUCCCAGGGUGAUAAAAAAGGCCUCAGCUUGGCCAUGACCCAGCAUCCCCUACUCUUCCGUAAACCUGUCAGAGCAAGGGAGAUGGCAUCAGAAGUAGACAUGGAGGCCAGGCAGGGAGGAGAAGCAUGAAUGAGGUAACUGCAUUUAGGACCUCCCUGUGGCCUUAUCAGGGAGCCUGAUCUCUCAACUCUAAGCCAUUGCCUUCCCACCAAUCAGCCUGAGCUAACCCCAAAGCAGCUGGGAGUCCUCAGCAUGAUUUACUGUGUAGAAACAUCAAGGAUCAGGAGGAGUGUAUCCGGAGAACACAGUAAUAAGAGAGCUCAGCUGGGCCUAGAGCCCCCUGCCUUGGAAACCUAUCAGAGACAGCCUGGAAUCCAAAUAAGAUGGGGCAACUGAGCUGGAUUUCACUGAAGGACAAGGAAUGAGACCAGCUGCCCUCUCCAGGCCUCUUUGGCUUUAAGGGAUUUGUGGGGAACCCUGUGAUAUGUGAAUAAUUCUGGACCACAGGCAGAAUCCUAGGUUCUGGGCCCAACCGCCCCCCCACACACACACACUAAUUUUAGGAGAGCGAUUUAAUUUGUGUGUGUUCUUAGGCAUCUGUACAGUAGGAUAUUAAGCUACUGUGAAAAAUAGUGAGGGAGAAGUUCCUAUCAUGGCCCAGCAGUUAACGAACCCAGCUAGUAUCCAUGAGGACGAGGGUUCAAUCCCUGGCCUCGCUCAGUGGAUUAAGGAUCUGGCGUUGCUGUGAGCUGUGGUGUAGGCCAGCGGCUACAGCUCUGAUUCGACCUCUAGCCUGGGAACCUCCAUGUGCCACGGGUACAGCCCUAAGAAGACAAAAAAACAAACAAACAAACCAACAAACAAAAAAAAC